UACGUAGGGUGCGAGCGUUGUCCGGAAUUAUUGGGCGUAAAGGGCUCGUAGGCGGUUUGUCACGUCGGGAGUGAAAACUCGGGGCUUAACUCCGAGCCUGCUUCCGAUACGGGCUGACUAGAGGUAUGCAGGGGAGAACGGAAUUCCUGGUGUAGCGGUGAAAUGCGCAGAUAUCAGGAGGAACACCGGUGGCGAAGGCGGUUCUCUGGGCAUUACCUGACGCUGAGGCGCGAAAGCCAGGGGAGCGAACGGG
rnacentral:rRNA from 1 species